rnacentral:lncRNA from 1 species
CAGCUUUGCAAGUGAAGGAAAGAAAGAAAGAAAAAAGGAAAGAAAGAAAGAAAGAAGUGUGAACUUUAGAUUACUCCACUCUACUUAGUCUAACAAAAACAGGAAUGUCUACACCCAUACUUAAAGAUUAAGUAUUUAGGAGGAUGACCUAUGACAGACAUGUGCUAGCAAAUGACAAAUCAGAAACCACUGACCUGUUGGUUGUCCUAAGUCAAGCUUAAGCUACCAUUUGGUACAUGUGAGAUGCAGGAAAGAGAUGUAAAAAUCAUCUAUAUAUUUCAUGUCACUUCCUCUCUCCAGUCUCUUUCCACAGAGAGGUGGCUCUGGCAGCAGUUUGCUGAGUGUUUCAGCAUCUUGGCAUGGUGGCAGCUAUUGUCCAGAGUUGGCGCCAGAAAUUGAAAUCCACUGGAGGAUUUGUCCGUUUCUUGGGGAUGCAGAAUUGUCCAGAACAAUAUCACCUUGAGGUCAAGUGAUGUAAAAUCACAGGUUGCCUGGUAUCCAGGGCUGCAAAAUGUACCAGUAACAAAAAAAAAAUCUUUCGUGGCUCAUGAGCAAAAAGGCACUGGUUUUAAAUUCAAAGAGUUAGAGAUAUUGUACAAAGAAUAAAGCUGUUACUACGCACAGUGGUUUUCUUCUUCACCAUGAAUGAGGACAUCUGGCUUAGGAC